AUUCAGCUGACAAGUUCCAAAUAAAACGAAGCGCAUUUCCUGAAU
rnacentral:hammerhead_ribozyme from 1 species